CACAUGCAGUCGAGCGGUAGAGAGAAGCUUGCUUCUCUUGAGAGCGGCGGACGGGUGAGUAAUACCUAGGAAUCUGCCUGAUAGUGGGGGAUAACGUUCGGAAACGGACGCUAAUACCGCAUACGUCCUACGGGAGAAAGCAGGGGACCUUCGGGCCUUGCGCUAUCAGAUGAGCCUAGGUCGGAUUAGCUAGUUGGUGAGGUAAUGGCUCACCAAGGCUACGAUCCGUAACUGGUCUGAGAGGAUGAUCAGUCACACUGGAACUGAGACACGGUCCAGACUCCUACGGGAGGCAGCAGUGGGGAAUAUUGGACAAUGGGCGAAAGCCUGAUCCAGCCAUGCCGCGUGUGUGAAGAAGGUCUUCGGAUUGUAAAGCACUUUAAGUUGGGAGGAAGGGCAUUAACCUAAUACGUUAGUGUUUUGACGUUACCGACAGAAUAAGCACCGGCUAACUCUGUGCCAGCAGCCGCGGUAAUACAGAGGGUGCAAGCGUUAAUCGGAAUUACUGGGCGUAAAGCGCGCGUAGGUGGUUUGUUAAGUUGAAUGUGAAAUCCCCGGGCUCAACCUGGGAACUGCAUCCAAAACUGGCAAGCUAGAGUAUGGUAGAGGGUAGUGGAAUUUCCUGUGUAGCGGUGAAAUGCGUAGAUAUAGGAAGGAACACCAGUGGC
rnacentral:rRNA from 1 species